rnacentral:rRNA from 1 species
UGAUGGCCAGGCUGUCUCCACCCGAGACUCAGUGAAAUUGAACUCGCUGUGAAGAUGCAGUGUACCCGCGGCAAGACGGAAAGACCCCGUGAACCUUUACUAUAGCUUGACACUGAACAUUGAGCCUUGAUGUGUAGGAUAGGUGGGAGGCUUUGAAGUGUGGACGCCAGUCUGCAUGGAGCCGACCUUGAAAUACCACCCUUUAAUGUUUGAUGUUCUAACGUUGACCCGUAAUCCGGGUUGCGGACAGUGUCUGGUGGGUAGUUUGACUGGGGCGGUCUCCUCCUAAAGAGUAACGGAGGAGCACGAAGGUUGGCUAAUCCUGGUCGGACAUCAGGAGGUUAGUGCAAUGGCAUAAGCCAGCUUGACUGCGAGCGUGACGGCGCGAGCAGGUGCGAAAGCAGGUCAUAGUGAUCCGGUGGUUCUGAAUGGAAGGGCCAUCGCUCAACGGAUAAAAGGUACUCCGGGGAUAACAGGCUGAUACCGCCCAAGAGUUCAUAUCGACGGCGGUGUUUGGCACCUCGAUGUCGGCUCAUCACAUCCUGGGGCUGAAGUAGGUCCCAAGGGUAUGGCUGUUCGCCAUUUAAAGUGGUACGCGAGCUGGGUUUAGAACGUCGUGAGACAGUUCGGUCCCUAUCUGCCGUGGGCGCUGGAGAACUGAGGGGGGCUGCUCCUAGUACGAGAGGACCGGAGUGGACGCAUCACUGGUGUUCGGGUUGUCAUGCCAAUGGCACUGCCCGGUAGCUAAAUGCGGAAGAGAUAAGUGCUGAAAGCAUCUAAGCACGAAACUU